UAAUACGUAGGGUGCGAGCGUUAAUCGGAAUUACUGGGCGUAAAGCGUGCGUAGGCGGUUCGUUAAGUUCGUCGUGAAAGCCCCGGGCUCAACCUGGGAAUGGCGAUGGAAACUGGCGGGCUGGAGUAUGGCAGAGGGGGGUGGAAUUCCGCGUGUAGCAGUGAAAUGCGUAGAGAUGCGGAGGAACACCGAUGGCGAAGGCAGCCCACUGGGCCAAUACUGACGCUCAGGCACGAAAGCGU
rnacentral:rRNA from 1 species